rnacentral:rRNA from 1 species
GACGGGUGAGUAAUAUAUCGGAACGUGCCCAGUAAUGGGGGAUAGCCCGGCGAAAGCCGGAUUAAUACCGCAUACGACCUACGGGUGAAAGCGGGGGAUCGCAAGACCUCGCGUUAUUGGAGCGGCCGAUAUCAGAUUAGCUUGUUGGUGGGGUAAAAGCCCACCAAGGCAACGAUCUGUAGCUGGUCUGAGAGGACGACCAGCCACACUGGGACUGAGACACGGCCCAGACUCCUACGGGAGGCAGCAGUGGGGAAUUUUGGACAAUGGGCGCAAGCCUGAUCCAGCCAUGCCGCGUGUGGGAAGAAGGCCUUCGGGUUGUAAACCACUUUUGUCAGGGAAGAAACGGUCCGAUCAAAUAAAUUGGACUAAUGACGGUACCUGAAGAAUAAGCACCGGCUAACUACGUGCCAGCAGCCGCGGUAAUACGUAGGGUGCAAGCGUUAAUCGGAAAUACUGGGCGUAAAGCGUGCGCAGGCGGCUUUGCAAGACAGAUGUGAAAUCCCCGGGCUCAACCUGGGAACUGCAUUUGUGACUGCAUGGCUAGAGUACGGUAGAGGGGGAUGGAAUUCCGCGUGUAGCAGUGAAAUGCGUAGAUAUGCGGAGGAACACCGAUGGCGAAGGCAAUCCCCUGGACCUGUACUGACGCUCAUGCACGAAAGCGUGGGGAGCAAACAGGAUUAGAUACCCUGGUAGUCCACGCCCUAAACGAUGUCAACUGGUUGUUGGACGGCUUGCUGUUCAGUAACGAAGCUAACGCGUGAAGUUGACCGCCUGGGGAGUACGGCCGCAAGGUUGGAACUCAAAGGAAUUGACGGGGACCCGCACAAGCGGUGGAUGAUGUGGUUUAAUUCGAUGCAACGCGAAAAACCUUACCUACCCUUGACAUGUCUAGAAGUUUCCAGAGAUGGAUUCGUGCUCGAAAGAGAACUAGAACACAGGUGCUGCAUGGCCGUCGUCAGCUCGUGUCGUGAGAUGUUGGGUUAAGUCCCGCAACGAGCGCAACCCUUAUCAUUAGUUGCUACGCAAGGGCACUCUAAUGAGACUGCCGGUGACAAACCGGAGGAAGGUGGGGAUGACGUCAGGUCAUCAUGGCCCUUAUGGGUAGGGCUACACACGUCAUACAAUGGCCGGUACAGAGGGCUGCCAACCCGCGAGGGGGAGCUAAUCUCAGAAAACCGGUCGUAGUCCGGAUCGCAGUCUGCAACUCGACUGCGUGAAGUCGGAAUCGCUAGUAAUCGCGGAUCAGCUUGCCGCGGUGAAUACGUUCCCGGGUCUUGUACACACCGCCCGUCACACCGUGGGAGCGGGUUCUGCCAGAAGUAGUUAGCCUAACCGCAAGGGGGGCGAUUACCACGGCAGGGUUCGUGACUGGGGUGAAGUCGAACAAGGUA